ensembl:snRNA U4 U4 spliceosomal RNA
GGGAUUGUGCAGUGGCGGCGUUGUCGCCAGCGAGGUUUAUCCAAGGUGUGAUUAUUGCCGAUUGAAAACUCUUCCCACUACCCCGCCAUGAUGACUUGAAGUAUAGUCGACAUUGGCAGUUUCUCACAGUCUUUAUGGAGA